rnacentral:rRNA from 1 species
UCGGGAAUUUUGGGCAAUGGGCGAAAGCCUGACCCAGCAACGCCGCGUGAGGGAUGAAGUAUUUCGGUAUGUAAACCUCGAAAGAAUGGGAAGAAUAAAUGACGGUACCAUUUAUAAGCUCCGGCUACUACGUGCCAGCAGCCGCGGUAAUACGUAGGGAGCAAGCGUUGUUCGGAUUUACUGGGCGUAAAGGGCGCGUAGGCGGCGCGGUAAGUCACUUGUGAAAUCUCUGAGCUUAACUCAGAACGGCCAAGUGAUACUGCUGUGCUAGAGUGCGGAAGAGGCAACCGGAAUUCUUGGUGUAGCGGUGAAAUGCGUAGAUAUCAAGAGGAACACCUGAGGCGAAGGCGGGUUGCUGGGCCGACACUGACGCUGAUGCGCGAAAGCCAGGGGAGCAAACG